GAGUAACACUGUCAAAGGGAUCGAG
rnacentral:misc_RNA from 1 species